rnacentral:rRNA from 1 species
UGACGAGUGGCGGACGGGUGAGUAAUGUCUGGGAAACUGCCUGAUGGAGGGGGAUAACUACUGGAAACGGUAGCUAAUACCGCAUAACGUCGCAAGACCAAAGAGGGGGACCUUCGGGCCUCUUGCCAUCGGAUGUGCCCAGAUGGGAUUAGCUAGUAGGUGGGGUAACGGCUCACCUAGGCGACGAUCCCUAGCUGGUCUGAGAGGAUGACCAGCCACACUGGAACUGAGACACGGUCCAGACUCCUACGGGAGGCAGCAGUGGGGAAUAUUGCACAAUGGGCGCAAGCCUGAUGCAGCCAUGCCGCGUGUAUGAAGAAGGCCUUCGGGUUGUAAAGUACUUUCAGCGGGGAGGAAGGGAGUAAAGUUAAUACCUUUGCUCAUUGACGUUACCCGCAGAAGAAGCACCGGCUAACUCCGUGCCAGCAGCCGCGGUAAUACGGAGGGUGCAAGCGUUAAUCGGAAUUACUGGGCGUAAAGCGCACGCAGGCGGUUUGUUAAGUCAGAUGUGAAAUCCCCGGGCUCAACCUGGGAACUGCAUCUGAUACUGGCAAGCUUGAGUCUCGUAGAGGGGGGUAGAAUUCCAGGUGUAGCGGUGAAAUGCGUAGA